GCCGCUGUAGCUCAGUUGGUAGAGCAACGCUUUCGUAAAGCGUGGGUCGUCGGUUCAAGUCCGGUCAGCGGCU
rfam:Candidatus Synechococcus spongiarum 15L contig40, whole genome shotgun sequence.